rnacentral:rRNA from 1 species
AAACUAACAAGGAUUCCCCUAGUAGCGGCGAGCGAAGCGGGAAAAGCUCAAAUUUGUAAUCUGGCGCCUUCGGCGUCCGAGUUGUAAUCUCGAGAAAUGUUUUCCGUGUUAGACCGCAUACAAGUCUCUUGGAACAGAGCGUCAUAGUGGUGAGAACCCAGUACACGAUGCGGAUGCCUAAUACUUUGUGAUACAUUUUCGAAGAGUCGAGUUGUUUGGGAAUGCAGCUCAAAUUGGGUGGUAAAUUCCAUCUAAAGCUAAAUAUUGGCGAGAGACCGAUAGCGAACAAGUACCGUGAGGGAAAGAUGAAAAGCACUUUGGAAAGAGAGUUAACAGUACGUGAAAUUGUUGGAAGGGAAACACAUGCAGUCAGACUUGCUAUUCGGGGCAACUCGAUUGGCAGGCCCGCAUCAGUUUUUCGGGGCGGAAAAGCAUAGAGAGAAGGUAGCAGUUUCGGCUGUGUUAUAGCUCUUUAUUGGAUUCGCCCUGGGGGACUGAGGAACGCAGCGUGCUUUUAGCAUGAGCUUCGGCUUAUCCACGCUUAGGAUGCGGGUGUAAUGGCUGUAUAUGAC